GACGGAAGGUGCAAGCGUUGUUCGGAUUUACUGGGCGUAAAGGGCGCGUAGGCGGCGCAACAAGUCAGCUGUGAAAUCUCCGGGCUUAACCCGGAGCGGCCAGCUGAUACUGUCGUGCUAGAGUGCGGAAGGGGCUACUGGAAUUCUCGGUGUAGCGGUGAAAUGCGUAGAUAUCGAGAGGAACACCUGUGGCGAAGGCGGGUAGCUGGGCCGACACUGACGCUGAGGCGCGAAAGCUAGGGGAGCGAACGGG
rnacentral:rRNA from 1 species